UACGGAGGAUGCAAGCGUUAUCCGGAAUUAUUGGGCGUAAAGCGUCCGCAGGUGGCUCAUCAAGUCUGCUGUCAAAGGCAGGGGCUUAACCCCUGAAAGGCAGUGUAAACUGGGGAGCUAGAGUGCAGUAGGGGUAGAGGGAAUUCCCGGUGUAGCGGUGAAAUGCGUAGAGAUCGGGAAGAACAUCGGUGGCGAAAGCGCUCUGCUGGACUGCAACUGACACUAAAGGACGAAAGCUAGGGGAGCGAAUGGG
rnacentral:rRNA from 1 species